rnacentral:rRNA from 1 species
CCUACGGGGGGCAGCAGUGGGGAAUAUUGCGCAAUGGGCGAAAGCCUGACGCAGCGACGCCGCGUGAGGGAUGAAGGCCUUCGGGUUGUAAACUGCUUUUAUAAGCGAGAAAUAUGAUGGUAACUUAUGAAUAAGGAUCGGCUAACUACGUGCCAGCAGCCGCGGUCAUACGUAGGAUCCGAGCAUUAUCCGGAGUGACUGGGUGUAAAGAGUUGCGUAGGUGGCAUAAUAAGUAGCUAGUGAAAUCUGGUGGCUCAACCAUUCAGACUAUUAGCUAAACUGUUAAGCUCGAGACCGUUAGGGGCAUCUGGAAUUUCUAGUGUAGGAGUGAAAUCCGUAGAUAUUAGAAGGAACACCAAUAGCGUAGGCAGGAUGCUGGGACGGUUCUGACACUAAGGCACGAAAGCGUAGGGAGCAAACGGGAUUAGAUACCCCAGUAGUC